GAAAUGCGAUAAGUAAUGUGAAUUGCAGAAUUCAGUGAAUCAUCGAAUCUUUGAACGCAUCUUGCGCUCCUUGGUAUUCCGAGGAGCAUGCCUGUUUGAGUGUCAUUUAACUUCUCUCAACUGCAUCAUUUUUGUUGUUAUAAGCGGUGCUGACCCAGCAUACCAAAGGCAUAGA
rnacentral:misc_RNA from 1 species